UCUCCUGACCUCAUGAUCCGCCUGCCUUGGUCUUCCAAAGUGCUGGGAUUACAGGCAUGAGCCACCGCACUCGGCUGUCUUCAUGUUUUAUCUUAUCUUCCCUGACGCCUAUAUUUCUGAUUUGUGUUCUUUUAAUUCAUGACAAUUUGUUUAGUCUCAACUUUUAUUUGCUCUAUGUGGAAUUUGGAGAAGGAAUGGCAAAGCGGAAGUCCUUCUCCUAUUUGAUGUCUUAACUUGUUUUUACUGGAAGUCACUUCCUCUUUUGUCUCAGAGGCUGAUUCGCCUCCCAUAACCAGUGAUUUUCCUGUAAGCUCAUUAUCCUGGAUGA
rnacentral:lncRNA from 10 species